rnacentral:rRNA from 1 species
UACGUAGGUGACCAGCGUUGUCCGGAUUUAUUGGGCGUAAAGAGCGCGCAGGCGGUCGUUCAAGUCGAGUGUGAAAGCCCCCGGCUCAACUGGGGAGGGUCACUCGAUACUGCUCGACUUGAAGGCAGGAGAGGGAAGCGGAAUUCCCGGUGUAGUGGUGAAAUGCGUAGAUAUCGGGAGGAACACCAGUGGCGAAGGCGGCUUCCUGGCCUGUUCUUGACGCUGAGGCGCGAAAGCUAGGGGAGCAAACGGG